rnacentral:rRNA from 1 species
UACGAAGGGGGCUAGCGUUGCUCGGAAUCACUGGGCGUAAAGGGUACGUAGGCGGGCCUUUAAGUCAGGGGUGAAAUCCUGGAGCUCAACUCCAGAACUGCCUUUGAUACUGAAGAUCUUGAGUCCGGGAGAGGUGAGUGGAACUGCGAGUGUAGAGGUGAAAUUCGUAGAUAUCUGGAGGAAUACCGGUGGCGAAGGCGGCAUCCUGGACCGAGAUUGACACUGAUGAGCGAAAGCCAGGGGAGCAAACGGG